rnacentral:piRNA from 1 species
UCCUAGCACCAAAGCAUGGUCCAAGGUCAAU